rnacentral:rRNA from 1 species
UACGUAGGGCGCGAGCGUUGUCCGGAUUUAUUGGGCGUAAAGAGCUCGUAGGCGGCUUGUCGCGUCGUCCGUGAAAACCUGCGGCUCAACUGCAGGCUGGCGGUCGAUACGGGCAGGCUGGAGUUCGGUAGGGGAGACUGGAAUUCCUGGUGUAGCGGUGAAAUGCGCAGAUAUCAGGAAGAACACCAAUGGCGAAAGCAGCUCUCUGGGACGGUACUGGACGCUGAGACGCGAAAGCCGUGGGGAGCGAACAGG